rnacentral:rRNA from 1 species
UGGGGAAUAUUGGACAAUGGGCGAAAGCCUGAUCCAGCAAUGCCGCGUGAGUGAUGAAGGCCUUAGGGUUGUAAAGCUCUUUUACCAGGGAUGAUAAUGACAGUACCUGGAGAAUAAGCUCCGGCUAACUCCGUGCCAGCAGCCGCGGUAAUACGGAGGGUGCGAGCGUUAAUCGGAAUUACUGGGCGUAAAGCGCAUGCAGGUGGUUUGUUAAGUCAGAUGUGAAAGCCCGGGGCUCAACCUCGGAAUAGCAUUUGAAACUGGCAGACUAGAGUACUGUAGAGGGGGGUAGAAUUUCAGGUGUAGCGGUGAAAUGCGUAGAGAUCUGAAGGAAUACCGGUGGCGAAGGCGGCCCCCUGGACAGAUACUGACACUCAGAUGCGAAAGCGUGGGGAGCAAACAGGAUUAGAUACCCCGGUAGUCC